rnacentral:rRNA from 1 species
CAUAGGUUUGGUCCCAGCCUUCCUGUUAACUCUUAAUAAACUUACACAUGCAAGCAUCUACACCCCAGUGAGAAUGCCCUCUAGGUUAUUAAAACUAAGAGGAGCUGGCAUCAAGCACACACCCUGUAGCUCACGACGCCUUGCUUAACCACACCCCCACGGGAAACAGCAGUGACAAAAAUUAAGCCAUAAACGAAAGUUUGACUAAGUUAUAUUAAUUAGGGUUGGUAAAUCUCGUGCCAGCCACCGCGGUCAUACGAUUAACCCAAGCUAACAGGAGUACGGCGUAAAACGUGUUAAAGCACCAUACCAAAUAGGGUUAAAUUCUAACUAAGCUGUAAAAAGCCAUGAUUAAAAUAAAAAUAAAUGACGAAAGUGACCCUACAAUAGCCGACGCACUAUAGCUAAGACCCAAACUGGGAUUAGAUACCCCACUAUGCUUAGCCCUAAACACAGAUAAUUACAUAAACAAAAUUAUUCGCCAGAGUACUACUAGCAACAGCUUAAAACUCAAAGGACUUGGCGGUGCUUUAUAUCCUUCUAGAGGAGCCUGUUCUAUAUAAUC